GACAGAGGGGGCAAGCGUUGCUCGGAAUUACUGGGCGUAAAGGGCGCGUAGGCGGGAUGGCAAGUCGGUCGUGAAAUCCUUCGGCUCAACCGAAGAACGUCGGCCGAUACUGCCGUUCUUGAGGGAUGCAGAGGAGAUUGGAAUUCCCGGUGUAGCGGUGAAAUGUGUAGAGAUCGGGAGGAACACCGGUGGCGAAGGCGGGUCCCUGGGCAUCUCCUGACGCUGAGGCGCGAAAGCGUGGGGAGCAAACGGG
rnacentral:rRNA from 1 species